AUUGAACGCUGGCGGCAGGCCUAACACAUGCAAGUCGAGCGGCUGCAGGGAGCUUGCUCCCGGCUUCAGCGGCGGACGGGUGCGUAAUGCCUAGGAACCUACCUGGUAGUGGGUGCUAACGUCCGUAACCGGGCGCUAAUACCGCAUACGUCCUGAGGGAGCAAGUGACGGCAUUUCGGACCUCCCGCUAUCAGAUGAGCCUAGGUCGGAUUAGCUAGUUGGUGGGGUAAAGGCCUACCAAGGCGACGAUCCGUAACUGGUCUGAGAGGAUGAUCAGUCACACUGGAACUGAGACACGGUCCAGACUCCUACGGGAGGCAGCAGUGGGGAAUAUUGGACAAUGGGCGAAAGCCUGAUCCAGCCAUGCCGCGUGUGUGAAGAAGGUCUUCGGAUUGUAAAGCACUUUAAGUUGGGAGGAAGGGCAGUAAGUUAAUACCUUGCUGUUUUGACGUUACCAACAGAAUAAGCACCGGCUAACUUCGUG
rnacentral:rRNA from 1 species